ensembl:lncRNA
AGAAAGCAGAAUGGACAAGCUGAGUCAGACAAAUGAUGACCUCAGAGACCAUCUGAGCACAACAAGAAAGGAGCUCGAACAAAAAGAGAGGUACAUUGACACCCUCAACCGGCAGAGAGUCAUUGUGUCCUCUGCAUCUAGAGAACAUGUCCACCAGCUUGGUACAACACAAGCAGAACCUGAGACCAGCAUGGCCUCCACCACACAGCCUGAUGACACUGCACCAGCCUAUCAGUCUGCUCCAGCCCAGGUCAACCUACCAGCCUCUCAGUCUGCUCCAGCCCAGGUCAACCUACCAGCCUCCCAGUCUGCUCCAGCCCAGGUCAACCUACCAGCCUCCCAGUCUGCUCCAGCCCAGGUCAGAAUACCAGCCUCCCAGUCUGCUCCAGCCCAGGUCAACCUACCAGCCUCCCAGUCUGCUCCAGCCCAGGUCAACCUACCAGCCUCUCAGUCUGCUCCAGCCCAGGUCAACCUACCAGCCUCUCAGUCUGCUCCAGCCCAGGUCAACCUACCAGCCUCUCAGUCUGCUCCAGCCCAGGUCAACCUACCAGCCUCUCAGUCUGCUCCAGCCCAGGUCAACCUACCAGCCUCCCAGUCUGCUCCAGCCCAGGUCAGAAUACC